UACGUAGGGCGCAAGCGUUAUCCGGAAUUAUUGGGCGUAAAGAGCUCGUAGGCGGUUUGUCGCGUCUGCCGUGAAAGUCCGGGGGCUCAACUCCGGAUCUGCGGUGGGUACGGGCAGACUAGAGUGAUGUAGGGGAGACUGGAACUCCUGGUGUAGCGGUGAAAUGCGCAGAUAUCAGGAGGAACACCGAUGGCGAAGGCAGGUCUCUGGGCCACUACUGACGCUGAGAAGCGAAAGCAUGGGUAGCGAACAGG
rnacentral:rRNA from 1 species